rnacentral:lncRNA from 1 species
AUCUUUUCUUACCCAUAGGUGUGUUAGCUUCAGUGGCAGACUGUAAUUUGGCCAUCGGAUCUCUGCUUCCAAUCCCAGUCUCCAUUUUCUGAUUCUUCUUUAAAGUCUUUCCACAGGCUGUACAGGACACGUGGCUGGGAGACCUCAGACAACUUUCAGUCAUGAUGGAAGGCAAAGGAGAAGCAGGUAGAUGUCUUAAAUG